GUACGUCUUUAACCCUUCGCCCGUAAACUGGGUCAUAAAUGGCACAAGCCGAAAUUCAAGAUAGAAUACCGCCGAAAUGAAAAGGGGGGGGGGGCUUGCCGUCCCUCGUAAAAAAAGUAGGUAGUGGGGAGAACUCAUGCCCAAAGUUUCGUUGGAAUUCGCCAGUGUGUGCUUGACCAGCAGCGAGUCAAAGUGCGUCCAGUGCCACUAUUGACCCAGUUUACGGACAGUGCCAGACUUUCGUGCAAGGUACAAUGGAUGAUCAAGCGACAAAUAUCAGAUAUUAUUUACGAGAAAGACGAUUUUAUAUGAUUUUUUAAUAAAAUAAUGUAAAAAUUA